UGUGCUAUAAUGUGCUAUACAAUUUAAUUGGUACUCAUUUCAUUGUUAUAACGUUAUGUAGUAAAAGGACCUCGAAGUUGCAGAUCCCCCCCGCCACCGUGUUUGGAUUAAAUCACGCACCAAGAGUAGAAAACUUGUCACUGAUUACGACAAGGAAAUUGCAGAGAAGAUAGCUCAAUUAGAGGAGAAGCUUAGUCAGGGACAAAUUCAGGUCCAGGGCCAAAACGAUAUCCUGACGCAGGCGCUCGGGACACCAGAGCAUCUUGGACGUGUCAGGGCUGCUGGGUUCCUGACCAGGGCAUCUCAACUGUUCGGCAGGAAGAAAAGGGAAGUGUCUGAUGUUAUGGCUCGGCAAGCGAAGGAGAUUGAAAAAUUAAAAGCCGAAGUCCAAUCCCUUAAGCAGCAGAGGAACGCUGCCGAACAAGAGGGAGAAGGAGAGGUGGCUGG